CGCAGACCGGUCUGAGUGUCCAUGAUGAUCUCCUAUUGUUCCAAUAAGUUUUAAACUGCUAUCUAUGGGAUUCCUGGUAUCCUAAAAUCUGGUCUGUCCAUUGGACUAUUCCAUGUGAGCGACAUGUUUAUGCUCUACUAAAUGUAAGUAGGUUAUCUGUAUUUAUAAUACUUUAACAUACUACGCUAUGUGUUUCCCUCUUUCUCUAUACAUUUGCAUAUAUUGAUUUAAUGGAUUACUGUAGUCCUCUCCUGAUUGGUCUUCCCAAAAGCCAUAUUGCCCCGCUACAGUCUGUAAUGAAUGCUGCAGCUAGAUUGAUUUUCUUCUCUAGUCGGUCCUCUCACACCUCACCCCUCUGCCAGUCCUUACAUUGGCUCCCUGUAUCCUAUAGGAAUUAAUUCAAAGUGCUAACCCAUACAUUUAAAGCACUGAACAAUUCUAGCCCCUCUUAUAUCUCUCACUGAUCCAUAGGUAUGCCCCUCCUCGUUCCCUCCGCUCUGCCCGUGACAUUCUUCUGACUGCUGCUCGUACGGCCAACUCACGCUUGCAGGACCUCCCACGGGCGGCUCCUUUCCUAUGGAAUAGCUUGCCUACUGCCAUCAGACUCUCCCCGAGUCUUCAAUCAUUUAAGAAGGGCUUUAAAACCCAUCUCUUCAGGAAAGCUUAUGGCCUCCCAGAGUAAUCUCUACCUCACAUACCUGAAUCUUGCUCUCUCCUAUAGGACAGUGCUUUACUCUCUCCUCCAGCUCUGCUUCACAUAUGACGUCAUCUUCCGGCAACCAGCCUCACUCUGCGGCGCACGAGGGAU